rnacentral:lncRNA from 1 species
UUCCUCCCACAUUUAGCUGAUUUGGCGUCAUAUAAUUGAAAUACUGUCAAGCCAACUCACUCUUUCACUCUAAAUUCUGAUCUCAAUGAAAAAUGAACUGAUAUUGCCAGAAAAAAAUUAGUGCUGAUUAAGGAUCAAAUUCAACGGGUGAUGAAAAAUGGGUCUACCGCUAUGAUUUUGACUCAAAAGGUCAGUCCAUGGAUUGGAACCAUUCCACUUCUCCGGCACCAAAGAAAUUCAAGUCUUCAAGAUCAGUGAAGAAAGUUAUGGCCACUGUAUUCGGGGAUGCAAAGGGUGUGAUCCUUGUUGAUUACUAAGAAAGUCAAAAGUCGUUUACCGGUGCCUACUAUGCUGAUUUUCUUCAUCCCCUGAGAGAUUCUAUUAAAAAAGGACUGCUAGAAUCUACCGCUUCAUGACAAUGCCUCUUCUCACACCUUACAAGUUUGAAAGGCGUUUUCAAUGUGCACUGUUUUUUCCCCCGUCAUCUACAGCGAAAGCUGCCGGGAUAACAGCGAUUGUACUCACGUGACAUGUGAUAGUUCGACAAAGAUUGGCUGCUCUCUCGGAGAAUGUACCUGUCUGUCUUCGGCUACUUCCGGUUCAUGCAUGCAAGCCACAUGCGCCGCCCAUUCCGACUGCAACAGCUGCCAAUGUAGGGACAGCCGUUACGUACACCGGUGCUACGAUGGUCACUGUUUAGGUGGACUUGUUCUUUGACCCGACAUACGACGGCCGCCUGUUUCACAAGGUGUUUCAAACAAUACAACAGGAUACAUACCAAGAAGCAGACCACUGGAGGAAAUCACAAACAGGUGAUCAGGAAACUACAUUAAUCCUCUCUUGGUAGGUAACAGGAUAGGAAAUAAACUUAAUGUUCAAUCGCAUUAUAGGCUCCCUUUCCAAACAUUGCAUUGACUUAUUAAUUCGUAUGCUGAAUUAUUGAAUAAGAACAUGGACAUGAGAUGACCAAGCCUCAUUUGAAUAACUGAUAGAUCCUCAAAGGUUACCCAGUAACAAAUGAACAAAUGCGUGUAAUAUUGAUACUCACUCAUUGUACACUGUGUAUGAAAACUACACAUAGGUGUACAUAAAUGCUGACUUUGACUUCAUGAUAUGUCUUUAGUGAUAUAUUUCAUUGGUAUGUUACAACGUCGAAUGGGAAACAAAUACAUAUGCGCUGUAACCGGCUACUACAUACAGUGGGCGGAAAGACGGCAUUAUGAAAAUAAAAGCGACAAAAACAUUCCUACAUGUAUAUUCAUAAGGAAUAUAUGCCAAAAACAGUCGAUUGUACGAUUCUGGACAAUUGGUGUCGACAUUUCUUAACUUUUGAGGUAUAGUCGCAUGGGCAUGCUCUUUCUACCAAGAUUCAAAGAGCAUCAUAAGACUCUCACUCAGAAGUUGUUUGAUCAAGGUUAUAACAUCUAAGGUCUCACUUAAAGCUCUAAAAACCUUUUUGUAGGUAUGUGGCGGGCAUUUUUAAAUUUGACCAUUCAGUGACAACAAUCAUGUCCGAUGCGAUUCCCUAGUUUUACUUGUACCAUAUGUUGCAGGUGAACAGCUGACCUGCCUUUGCAUGUGUUUGUGAUGUGUGCCACCA